GACGAACGCUGGCGGCGUGCUUAACACAUGCAAGUCGAACGGUAAGGCCCUUCGGGGUACACGAGUGGCGAACGGGUGAGUAACACGUGGGUGAUCUGCCCUGCACUUCGGGAUAAGCCUGGGAAACUGGGUCUAAUACCGGAUAGGACCACUGCCUGCAUGGGUGGUGGUGGAAAGCUUUCGCGGUGUGGGAUGGGCCCGCGGCCUAUCAGCUUGUUGGUGGGGUGAUGGCCUACCAAGGCGACGACGGGUAGCCGGCCUGAGAGGGUGACCGGCCACACUGGGACGGAGAGACGGCCCAGACUCCUACGGGAGGAAGCAGUGGGGAAUAUUGCACAAUGGGCGCAAGCCUGAUGCAGCGACGCCGCGUGAGGGAUGACGGCCUUCGGGUUGUAAACCUCUUUCAGCACCGACGAAGCGCAAGUGACGGUAGGUGCAGAAGAAGGACCGGCCAACUACGUGCCAGCCGCCGCCGUAA
rnacentral:rRNA from 1 species